rnacentral:rRNA from 1 species
CGGUAGGUAACCUGCCUCUUAGCGGGGGAUAACUAUUGGAAACGGUAGCUAAUACCGCAUAAAAGUCGAUAUCGCAUGAUAUUGAUUUGAAAGGUGCAAUUGCAUCACUAAGAGAUGGACCUGCGUUGUAUUAGCUAGUUGGUGAGGUAACGGCUCACCAAGGCGACGAUACAUAGCCGACCUGAGAGGGUGAUCGGCCACACUGGGACUGAGACACGGCCCAG